CGCAGAAUUCUUGAUUCAUUCUUUCGUCCUCGUAAAUCCAAAAUGUCUGGAAGAGAAGGUGGUAAGAAAAAGCCUCUGAAAGCUCCAAAAAAGCAGAAAGGUGAAGAGGACGAGGAAGAUGCUAAAUUCAAGCAAAAACAGAAAGAAGAAAAGAAAGCUUUAGAAGAAGCCAAGGCAAAAGCUGCCAAGAAAGGACCUUUAGUUGGUGGAGGAAUCAAGAAAUCUGGGAAGAAAUGACACCAUGAACAGUCUUCCUGAAAAAUGAACUAUCUUUUCUCCUGAACAUAUUGAAUAUGUUUACAUUGCAAACUUUACCUAGGAGGAAUCACUUCCUUUUUUUAAAGAUUCCUUGAUUUUAGAUCUUUUCUCAUUGUCAACCAGCUGUUCUCAAGUCAUGAACUAAUAAAAAAGUAACUUAUUUUUAA